GAUGAACGCUGGCGGCGUGCCUAAUACAUGCAAGUCGAGCGAACAGAUAAGGAGCUUGCUCCUUUGACGUUAGCGGCGGACGGGUGAGUAACACGUGGGUAACCUACCUAUAAGACUGGGAUAACUUCGGGAAACCGGAGCUAAUACCGGAUAACAUUUGGAACCGCAUGGUUCUAAAGUGAAAGAUGGUUUUGCUAUCACUUAUAGAUGGACCCGCGCCGUAUUAGCUAGUUGGUAAGGUAACGGCUUACCAAGGCAACGAUACGUAGCCGACCUGAGAGGGUGAUCGGCCACACUGGAACUGAGACACGGUCCAGACUCCUACGGGAGGCAGCAGUAGGGAAUCUUCCGCAAUGGGCGAAAGCCUGACGGAGCAACGCCGCGUGAGUGAUGAAGGGUUUCGGCUCGUAAAACUCUGUUAUUAGGGAAGAACAAAUGUGUAAGUAACUGUGCACGUCUUGACGUUACCUAAUCAGAAAGCCACGGCUAACUACGUG
rnacentral:rRNA from 1 species